GACGAACGGCUGGCGGCGUGCCCUCAAACAUGCAAGUCGAGCGGACGGAGACCGAACCGCAAGGGGAGGUUGAAGUUAGCGGCGAACGGGUGAGUAACACGUGGGUAACCUACCCUAAAGUCUGGGACAACGGCCCGAAAGGGCCGCUAAUACCGGAUAAUGUCUUCGGGUCGCAUGGCCUGGGGAAGAAAGCCGAAAGGCGCUUAUGGAUGGGCUCGCGUCCCAUCAGCUAGUUGGUAAGGUAACGGCUUACCAAGGCGACGACGGGUAGCCGGUCUGAGAGGGUGUCCGGCCACACUGGAACUGAGACACGGUCCAGACUCCUACGGGAGGCAGCAGUGGGGAAUUUUGGGCAAUGGGGGAGACCCUGACCCAGCGACGCCGCGUGAGGGACGAAGGCCCUUGGGUCGUAAACCUCUUUUGCAGGGGAAGAAGAAGAUGACGGUACCUUGCGAACAAGUCCCGGCUAACUACGUG
rnacentral:rRNA from 1 species